UGCCUCAGUAACGGCGAGUGAAGCGGCAACAGCUCAAAUUUGAAAUCUGGCCGUCCCGCGGUCCGAGUUGUAAUUUGCAGAGGAUGCUUCGGGUGCAGUGCCGGUUUAAGUUCCUUGGAACAGGACGUCAUAGAGGGUGAGAAUCCCGUAUGUGACCGGUGACUCAGCCCGCGUGAAGCUCCUUCGACGAGUCGAGUUGUUUGGGAAUGCAGCUCUAAAUGGGUGGUAAAUUUCAUCUAAAGCUAAAUACCGGCCGGAGACCGAUAGCGCACAAGUAGAGUGAUCGAAAGAUGAAAAGCACUUUGGAAAGAGAGUUAAAAAGUACGUGAAAUUGUUGAAAGGGAAGCGCUUGCAACCAGACUUGCCUGUGGGCGAUCAGCCGUCCUUCUGGGCGGUGCACUCGCCUGCGGUCAGGCCAGCAUCGGUUCGGGCGGCCGGAUAAAGGCCCUGGGAAUGUAGCUCCCCCCGGGGAGUGUUAUAGCCCGGGGUGCAAUGCGGCCCGCCGGGACCGAGGACCGCGCUUCGGCUAGGAUGCUGGCGUAAUGGUUGUAAGUGACCCGUCUUGAAACACGGACCAAGGAGUCUAACAUCUAUGCGAGUGUUUGGGUGUCAAACCCAUGCGCGGAAUGAAAGUGAACGGAGGUGGGAACCCUUCCAGGGCGCACCAUCGACCGAUCCUGAUGUCUUCGGAUGGAUUUGAGUAAGAGCAUGGCUGUUGGGACCCGAAAGAUGGUGAACUAUGCCUGAAUAGGGUGAAGCCAGAGGAAACUCUGGUGGAGGCUCGCAGCGGUUCUGACGUGCAAAUCGAUCGUCAAAUUUGGGUAUAGGGGCGAAAGACUAAUCGAACCAUCUAGUAGCUGGUUCCUGCCGAAGUUUCCCUCAGGAUAGCAGUAACGUUUUCAGUUUUA
rnacentral:rRNA from 1 species